rnacentral:pre_miRNA from 1 species
AAAUCGUCCCCUAAGUUUUACAACUGUAGCAGUUUUGGCCCUCCACGGCCAAUUUUUGGUAAAAAAAAUAACACGUGACACCUCACUUAGGGUGCCACGUCAGCGUAGACCGAGUCAAAAUUGGCCUUGGGGGCAAAACUGCCACAAAUGCAAAACUUAGGGGGCGGCUU